rnacentral:rRNA from 1 species
GACGAACGCUGGCGGCGUGCCUAACACAUGCAAGUCGAACGGAAAGGCCCUGCUUUUGUGGGGUUCUCGAGUGGCGAACGGGUGAGUAACACGUGAGUAACCUGCCCUUGACUUUGGGAUAACUUCAGGUAACUGGGGUUAAUACCGGAUAGGAGCUCCUGCUGCAUGGUGGGGGUUGGAAAGUUUCGGCGGUUGGAGAUGGACUCGCGGCUUAUCAGCUUGUUGGGGGGGUAGUGGUUUACCAAGGCUUUGACGGGUAGCCGACAUGGGAGGGUGACCGGCGACAAUACGACUGAGAGACGGAGCAGUCGGCAAUGGGAGGCAACGGUGGGGAGUAUUACACAGUGGGCGGGAGCGUGUGGCGGCGGCGCCGCGUUCGUGAAGACGGCCUUGGGGUUGUGAAGCGAUUUCGGCUAAGACGAAGAGUGAGUGACGGUACCGGGUGAAGAAGCACCGGCUAACUACGUG